rnacentral:rRNA from 1 species
GAUGAACGCUGGCGGCGUGCCUAAUACAUGCAAGUCGAGCGAACAGACGAGGAGCUUGCUCCUCUGACGUUAGCGGCGGACGGGUGAGUAACACGUGGAUAACCUACCUAUAAGACUGGGAUAACUUCGGGAAACCGGAGCUAAUACCGGAUAAUAUAUUUAACCGCAUGGUUCAAUAGUGAAAGACGGUUUUGCUGUCACUUAUAGAUGGAUCCGCGCCGCAUUAGUUAGUUGGUAAGGUAACGGCUUACCAAGGCAACGAUGCGUAGCCGACCUGAGAGGGUGAUCGGCCACACUGGAACUGAGACACGGUCCAGACUCCUACGGGAGGCAGCAGUAGGGAAUCUUCCGCAAUGGGCGAAAGCCUGACGGAGCAACGCCGCGUGAGUGAUGAAGGUCUUCGGAUCGUAAAACUCUGUUAUUAGGGAAGAACAAAUGUGUAAGUAACUAUGCACGUCUUGACGGUACCUAAUCAGAAAGCCACGGCUAACUACGUG